GUCAUACUUUAACAGCCGGGAAACUUAUUGGCAUUCAUCACAGUUAAAUAGUUAUUAAUGGUGAAAUAUUAAAACUGUUACUUUUAACUCUGUGUAAUUUAUAAUAAACAUCGCACGUCAACAAGGAUUAGAGACCCUUCUACACAGAUGCACAUAAAGUAAUGCUGAGUACUAAAAUCCUCUGGGUUAAAACUCAAAUAGAAUGGCGGUAAUUCAUAUUCAGGGGAACUUACCCCUUAAAUGACAACCACCAAGGUUUGGUAACUACUAGUCAUUCUUGUAUGCCGUCGUCGUCAGGUUUCAUUUAAUAUGUGACCACAAAUUUAUUCAAUUAAAAGACAGAUCAAGGUGCAGACUAUCUCGUAGGUGGGGCGAGUUACAAUUACUUUUUAUAGUAGAAAGCCGUUUUAAAAACUUCUUGAAAGAGGACUUGACAGUAAUUGAUAUUAUUAUUAUCCUGUGAAUUUUUUUUGAAUUGUGCACAA
rnacentral:rRNA from 1 species